rnacentral:lncRNA from 9 species
GCAGAGACGGCUGAGAGGCAGGAAACGCUUCUUGAGGAGACCGCAGAUAAGUUUUUCUGUUAAGAUAGGGAUUACUCUUAUUCUCUAGGAAUUAUAAAUUAGCGAAAAUACUGAGCUGUAGUUUUGAGUUAAAUUCGUGAGAGUAGAUUUGAUAAUUAAUAAGAAGGUCUUAUUUUAGGGGAAAAUGGAGACGUCCUUAAAAAAUAGUGUGAGAAAGGAAGAAAGAAGAAAAAAGAUAAUAUUAGAACAUGACGGAGGUUAAGAGCUGAAGCUUCUUCAUGGAGUGAGAAAGCUAAUUUUAAAAGGAGUUGCCGAGACAGGACUGCAAAGUAUGGAAUUUUAAAGUCUUAAAUUGAAGGGCAGCUUUUUAGAUUAUUGUUCAAACGUAAUGCUAUAAAUAGAACCUAAACAAUACUUUUAAAGUCCAGUCGUAGAUGGAUUAAAAUGUUUUAAAAGCCAUCUUUAAAGGUCAGUUGAAGGUGAUUUAAGAAAUGCCUUCAAAUUCACGGCGCGAUCAAAACUGCGUCAUUUGAAGCCUUAAGGCUUUCUUUGGAAGUUGAUGGAAGUAUUAGUGGAGAAAGAAGAUUAGAAAUUUGAAGUGGAAAACUCGGAAGACAAGUACAGGAAGGUGAAGAAAAGAUUAGUGAAGAUAGGAAAACUAGAAGAUAAAAAAUACGGCUUUUAGAAGACAGAAAAAAACUAAGCCCAGAAGGUAGGAGGCAGAAGACAUCUAGAAAGAGAAGGUUGAAAAGAUGUUCGAGUGUUUGAGGUAGAAAAUGAGAAACAAGCUGUUGGAGACAAGCAUACAAGAUAGAGGUCCAAGUAAUUGGAAGAUAGAAAAGUCCGAAGCCAAAAAAUUGGAUAAGUACAAGACGCAAAACUAAGAAAAAUAAUUUUUAAUAGUUCAAUUUAUUUAAAAAGCCCAUCAACUUUAAUUUGUGGUGGUGCAGAAGUUAGAUCUGAGAAGAGGGUUUUAAACUACAGUAGACCAAGACCAACUUAGAAGAAUAUCUCGAAGCUGUAGAGGGAAGUAAAUUUAAAAUCACAGCAAAAAGCUACUAAAAAGACUGAUGUAAAAAUUAAGGUAGACGGAAGAGUUAAAAAUUUGAAAGGCCUUAAAUCCAUACAGUAGUUUAGUUUCUUCUGGAAAACUUAAAGGACGAUAAAUUCAAGAGCGAGGAUAACCAAGUUAACAUUUUUUGCAUUGGACUUUGAGCUAAGAUGAAUUUCUAAACCCUGAGGACUAGGCGCUAAUUAACAGCUGACCAGGUGCUACACAGAAGUGGAUUCAGAGAACCUAGGAAGACAGCAGCAGACAGGAUUCCAGGAGCCAGUUUUUGGUGAAACUAGGACUGAGGAGCGAGCGGCAGUUCGUGAAGAUAGGAAGGAGGAGCCCGGGAGCCAGUGCGAUUUGGUGAAGGAAGCUAGGAAGAAGGAAGGAGCCCUAACGGUUGGAGGUGAAGCUAGGAGAGGAUUCCAGGAAGGAGGAAGCCAGUGCGAUGUGGUGAUGAAGCUAGCGUGCGGCUUGGCGGCGUGGCUUGGCAACCCCGCGGAGGAGGCGAGCAGGCGGUGUGGAGGCUAGAUAGAGCGUCCUAGAGCGGCAGCCCAGUGUGCAAGGCCGGCAGGGAGAGCCAGUGGUGUGGUAAAAAUCCGUGAGGUCGGCAGUAUCGUGGGUUCUGCUUUGUUUCUUCACCUUUUUUUGGUAACAGUACGGUAAUCUUUGUUGUAUUUCCUAAUGGUGAUGGGGGAGCUGUGUACUUAAGCAUAAAGGGUUUUAUGGGGAUGUAGGCCGAUUUUCGGGUGUUGUAGGUUUCUCUUUUUCAGGCGUAUUUUCUCAUCUUGUCUGAAGCUUUUGAGGGCAGACUACCAAGGCCCGGAGGAAUAGUAGAUGGCAAGUGUUUUCGUUUUUAACCAAUAUGAGGGAAAACAAAUGAAUUUGAUAGAACAACCUUGAGACAGUUUCAGCCAGCUUUGUAAGCAGGUUUUAUAUUUAGCUUGGUAAUGAAGCAUUUCCGUUUUGUGAGUAGAUGACUUAAUUUUCUUUCUCAUUCUCUAUUCUAAGUUACCUAUAUAUAUAUAGUUGGGUGUGUAAUUCGGGGGGGUAAAGGUUUUGGGGGGGCAAAAUAUGUUUUGAGUUCUUUUCCCCUUAGGUCUGUCUAGAAUUCCAAAGGCAAAUGACUCAAGGUAACAGGAAAAAAGAAAAUCCAGUAUCAGGAUAAUCAGAACACCACAGGUUUACAGUUUGUAGAAACUAGAACACGAGCAGCUCUCACUUAAGGUCUGUGAUGGAACUCCAGUGGAGAAAUGGCUGGUACUUUUUCCACCCCUUAAUCAGAUUUUUUUUUUAAUUAAAGUAUGUAACCGGUUAUUUUUACUUGAAGUAUUUUGGGGUGGUCUUAACAGGGAAGAGGGUGGGGGAGAAAAUGUUUUUUUCUAAGACUUUCCACAGAUGCUAUAGUACUAUUGACAAACUGAGUUAGAGAAGGAUUGUACUGCUAUGCUGUUGGCACCAAACACCUUCAGGGAUUGGAGCUGCUUUUUUCCUUGGAGUAUUCCCAGUGAAGCUGAAAUAUACAGCACAGUGCAGCUUUGGUUCAUAUUCAGUCAUCUCAGGAGAACUUCAGAAGAGCUUGACUAGGCCAAAUAUUGAAGUUAAGUUUUCAAAUAAUGGAACUUUUUAAGAUGCCUUUUAAAGGGGAGGGGCAAGUUUUGGCAAUUAGUUGGCAGUGGCCUGUUUUGGUUGGGGUUGGGUGGGUUGGGUUUAGGUAAUUGUUUAGUUUAUGAUUUCAGAUAACUCAUGCCAGAGAACUUAAAUACUUAGGAUGGAAAAACUAAAGAAAUCUCACCUCCCAAGUUGGCAAGUAACUCCUGAUCCUCUAGUUUCUUGUUUUACCCCAAUUUUUGAACUGGACAGCUGGGAACUUCAAAGAUUCACUGGAUUUAAAGUGUAGGGCUUGGGAAAGGAAAGUGUUGGAUUGGGGGUUGGUCUAGCCCACUGGGUUGACCAAGAUAAAAACUUGGGGAAUUGUUUAAACACUAAAGUUGUUUGGAUAUGGUAGUGUGUGGUUCUCUUUUGGAAUUUUUUUCAGGUGAUUUAAUAAAACUUAAUACUACUAUAGGAGCUUCAGAGCAAAGGAAGUGGCUUAAUGAUCCUGAAGGGAUUUCUUCUGAUGGUAGCUUUUAUAUUAUCAAACUUUUUUCAGAUAACAUCUUCUGAGUCAUACCCAGCCUGGCAAUAUGAUGGCCUAGAUGGAGAGGGGAACAGCUCCUUGGUGAAUGAUAAGUUUCUCAUUAUCAGAAGAGUUGCUUCAUAUCAUCUGGGAGCAGAAAACAGCAGGCAGCUGUUCACAGAUAAGUUUAACUUGCAUCUGCAGUAUUGCAUGUUAGGGAUAAGUGCUAUGUUUAAUAAGAGCUGUGGAGGUCCUAGGUCCCUUACUCAAGGGAUCUCAGGAUUUUGAGGAAUUUUCCCAUCCAGCCUUUUAAAAUGAGACAGGCCUUAUGCCUGUGGGCUUCCAUGAUGGGCUAACUCACUUCACUCGAGGCAAGUAAUUCCUUAAAGCCUCUUGAGAUUAAUACCUUAAUAAUCAAGGAUAAUGUUGAUAAAAUAAAAAUUUGUUUAGCAUUGAUUCUUGAAAACCC